rnacentral:lncRNA from 1 species
AAUUCUCAGCAGCUCACACACAGGACAUGCACUUGUCAAUUAGCUUUGAGCUCACACGUCAAAAGAGACAGGUCUGCGGUUUCACAUUGCCCUUCCGGGAGACAACUCAUCUUGGCCAAUAACCAGCAUUAGCCCGGCCACGUCUUCAGCAGAGCCCUUCCUUCUCCUGAUAGUAAGAGGCUGGAUGGGUUUGUCAUCUCUCAUUUGAAGUACCCAUCAGAACACUCUCAGGUCAUCUCUACCCACAGCCCCCUGACCACCAAAAUUUGGGAAAACUCCAGAAAUGCAGAUUUGAUUCAAUUCAAUUCAAUGACAUUUAUGAGAUACCUGCUACGCACAAGGAAAUGCAUUAAAAGUUACCGAAGACACAAGGAUGAAAAAGGCCUGUCCCUUUCCUUCAGGGACUAUAUGGUGAUCUAUAGAAAAAGACAGACACAGACACAAGUAACUACACAAGACUACAAGACUGUGAGUAGGUGCUGUCAAAGGAGACCAACUCCAGGUUGCAUUUACCAAGCGCGUCCUCGGCCUGGAGCCUGCACUGACCACCUGCAGGCGUGCUUUCAUCUCCUUUCACAGCAACUUCGAGAGGCAGUGUUCUCAUUGAGUCCAUUUCACAGAUGAGGAAGCUGAGACUCAAGAGGCCAAGCCGUUUCCCAAGGUCACACAGCUGAUGCUGUGCUGCGGCAGGCCCCAGAACGGCAUGCACACCUGCGACUGUGCAUUCGCCACAGGCCCCCUCACUGCCCUAUCCAGUCACCGGAACACGACGGUGAACAGGACAGCCCCGUCGCUGCUUCUUGGAGCAAACACGAAUGCUUUGGUAGCAGCGAUGAAGAAAAAUCUCUCAAGGAAGCAGAGGGGGUGGGCGGGCAGGGUGGGUGGGUCAGACCCCUGGGGAAGGAACUGCAGAUGGCUCUCCUUCCCCCUCGAACCCUCCUGAGAGGUUAGCCGUCCUGAGUCUCCCUCCACCUCUCCCGGGGGCGCAGGCCCACAGCCCACAACUGGGAUUUCACCCGCUAGUGUGUCUCCACUCGCUGUUUGAAGACCACUGCUCUAGGCUAGGUCGUCGCUCUCUCGGUGAACCUCGCUUCGGCAGCUCUCUGGCAUCAGACAGUGGAGCUGCUUGCAGAGACCUCCCAGUCCUUUGCUCUUCCUUGCUCACAACCCAGAACAAGCAUCCAGAGGAGCAUUCUAACCUGACCUCUGAUGCGCCACACCGUCCUUUCUUUUGGCCUUCUCUCCUGGUCACCUUCUUUUCCAGCAUCACGAAGCUCCCUCUUUCUCUCCUCUUCCUCAUGGUUUCCUCCCAGUUUUCCAAACUCUGGAAACUUCUUCGUUAUUCAGAGAACAUGACUUGGGACUCCACCACCUUGAGAGAUGAUGGCCAAGAAAUCCAGCUGAUUUCAGUUUAAAGAUUGAGUUUGCGUGCCUGGCCAGCAAGGAGACACUCCAUUUCUGUAAAGGGUUUCGCAGGAAGGAGGGGAGCUGAAUGUUUACUGAGCAGCUACUAGAUGUCUGGAGCUCUCUGUGGAUGCUAAGGGCAUCAUCUCACUCAUUGCUCUCAAGAGCCUCAUAAAACAGGAUCUUAUUACCGCUGUUCCACCAGGAGACUCAGAGAAGAGGUCAGUCACCCACGGCCGAGGAUGAACUCAGGUCGGGUGGGGCUGAGGGGUGGCAAGGCUCACACUGGGCAGGCAGGCCCAGGAGAGAAGAGCCGAUUCUUCCCACAGGGGGCUGUGCAUCCCUCGGGAUGGGCAUCACGGCAGAACAGGUCUCCAGGCAAACAGGCAUCGUUGUGUGAAAGAACAUGGACCAGUCUUCCCAAGGGCUCCUGCACACCCGUCCCAGGAGGAAAUUUCCAAGGCAAAGUCAGGGAGAGAGAUGAGGGAGGUGAAGAAAGAAACGGCGAGAAAGAGGAAAACAGAGCAAGACAGAAGCAGAGAUCAAAGUAGAGGCAAAGAAAACUAUCAUGCCUUUUAAUAGCACAUUUUCUCCAUUGGAAGGUAAACACUUUUUUCACUUUCUAACAUUCUCGAAAUCAAGGUACAGCUUAUAAUCAAUGUCAAGAGAAACUUGUCAGCUUAUGGUACAUCUUACAAUCACGGUGAGCGGGAACAGAGAAAAACAGUGCAGUUCAAGGCCGCCCCUGAGGCUCGCGAGGUGAACAUCACUGGGCCGUCCCAGCUUCCCGGCGGAGCUCGCAGAUUCCUGCAAUUCUGCAGCCUGUUCUGGCAUGUUAUCACAGGGCUUUACACAAUCUGGGUACCAUGCCUUUAGACACGCUGACUUCUGGAAAAGGAAAUUGGGGGGCCAUAAUUAUAUUUUUAUUUGCACAGUCUCACGUAUCUAUUUUCAAAUGUGCGUUCCCAGCAGUUGGGGGCUUUUUUUUUCUUUUCUUUUUGUUUUUGGUUUUUUUUUGCAGUAGCAAUUAACCUAAUAAGCCACCUCUCAUUCCUCUGGUACAUUAACUACCCCAGAGAACAUCAGAGAAACACAGGGCUUUGCAGUCAUUCACGCACCUUCAGAAGCCAGGCCGAACAAUGGGGGUUGUUUUUACUGUGCGAUGCUGGCAAUUAGAGAGAAGAGGCCCCUCAGGUAGCUGUUGCGAAAGGUCCCUUAAUUUGACUCUGUUUCACACAGUCCAAUUUUCAAUAAAAUGAGGCACUUCAGACUGUCCCUUAGGAAAUCACCUCGGAGCCCAUAAUCCCUAGUUCUUCCUGGGGGUUAUUCAGUCUACAGUCCUCCCUUCUGAUCUGUUUGCAUCAAACCAGCCCUCCUUCUUUCCGCGUGCUAUUUACCCAGGGAUGUUUCCAUGACCAGCCUCCGUGCCCCAUGGCAAUAUCCGUCAAGUGCAGCCCUUUCUCCCUCGUUCCAUUGGCACCUCCCUUCUUAUCAUUAUUUUUGAUGAUCUGCCCGAACUUGCUUCUCUUUCCGACUGUCAGUGGAAACCCAAAGCAGUGUUUGAUGGUUUAUUCAUUAUUUACUUAUUUAUUUAUUGAAUGAUAUUUCUAUUGCAAAUACGUUUUUUCCAGAAGCAGAAAGAAAAAUAUACUCCAGCUCCUUGCCCCCAAACUCUGAUCUGCACUGUGUAUUCUUGUGCAUCCAAAGGCGCCCAAAUUCUCUGUGAAAUGUCCUCCCUGGGCGCUUCUGUGCUACGUUUGCUUUUUGUCCCCACAUUUCCCGCCUUGAAUCUUGAUCUGGCAGUCCAGGACCAGACAACAGUAAAACUCGACCUUCCUUCAGACAGAAUUCCCUUCCGAUGGAGCUAAAAUUUUUCCACUCUGGUACCCAGGAAAUGCGGGUGCUUCCCAGAGAGCCCCUGUGCAGGCUUCAGAGCUGGCUGCUGUGUGCUCACAUUUCUCUGGCAGGCCUCCGGCGUCGAUAGCUGGGCCUGGGUAUCAAAGAGCAUGUCAGGGAUUUGAGUUCUGCUGAGUCAGCCUCACCCUCAGCUGCUUCACGUCAUGGGCGCGAGGCACACCAAGAUGCUAACAACUUUCCACUCUUCACUCACGCCACUUGUGCAAAACUUAGCUCAGGCAUCCGUUCCUCCAGAAAACCUCCAAGAGUCCAGGCUCAGCUCCCUGCUCUCCUUUAGGCUCGUGUACCGGAUACUCCAUGCUCCUCCGAAGGACCUGUCGGUCUGUGUCCCCAACAGGACAGAAGGCUCUUCAAAGGGAGUGUAUUGGAAAAUGCUCCUCCAGCUGCAAGUGACAGCAAACCAAACCCACGGGAUUAAGCACAAGAAAAUGUCUUGGCUGCAGAGGCUGAAGGUGGGGCUGGCUUCAGACGUGGCUUGAUGCAGGAGCUCAGACAAUAUUAUCAGGACUUGUUGCUGUCCAACACUCGGCAUAAGUCCAUUGGCUUCCUUCCCAGACGGACUCUCCCCUCAUACGCUCUCAGCUUCAUGUCCCGUGGGGAAGA